rnacentral:rRNA from 1 species
UACGUAGGGGGCGAGCGUUAUCCGGAUUCACUGGGUGUAAAGGGAGCGUAGACGGCCAUGCAAGCCAGGGGUGAAAGCCCGGGGCCCAACCCCGGGACUGCCCUUGGAACUGCAUGGCUGGAGUGCGGGAGGGGCAGGCGGAAUUCCUGGUGUAGCGGUAAAAUGCGUAGAUAUCAGGAGGAACACCGGCGGCGAAGGCGGCCUGCUGGACCGCGACUGACGUUGAGGCUCGAAAGCGUGGGGAGCGAACAGG